rnacentral:piRNA from 1 species
UACCUUCCUGAUGGUUCUAUGGAGGCAGC